rnacentral:rRNA from 1 species
GAUCCUGGCUCAGGACGAACGCUGGCGGCGUGCUUAACACAUGCAAGUCGAGCGAUGAAGCUCCUUCGGGAGUAGAUUAGCGGCGGACGGGUGAGUAACACGUGGGUAACCUGCCUCAUAGAGGGGAAUAGCCUUUCGAAAGGAAGAUUAAUACCGCAUAUGGUAGCUUUAUCGCAUGGUAGUGCUAUUAAAGGAGUAAUCCGCUAUGGGAUGGACCCGCGUCGCAUUAGCUAGUUGGUGAGGUAACGGCUCACCAAGGCGACGAUGCGUAGCCGACCUGAGAGGGUGAUCGGCCACAUUGGGACUGAGACACGGCCCAGACUCCUACGGGAGGCAGCAGUGGGGAAUAUUGCACAAUGGGGGAAACCCUGAUGCCAGCAACGCCGCGUGAGUGAUGACGGUCUUCGGAUUGUAAAGCUCUGUCUUUAGGGACGAUAAUGACGGUACCUAAGGAGGAAGCCACGGCUAACUACGUGCCAGCAGCUGC